rnacentral:lncRNA from 1 species
AUAUUCUUCCAUUUGGACACAAAAAGAUGCAUACAUCAACAUGCACCACAGCCGCACGAAAACUACGCACUUAGAUGUUCAACAGCUUACAUACUUAACCAAUUAUCUUAUUACACACAGCAGGAGACAAUAGUCCAGAGAAAAUCACCAACCCACCAUAUAAUAACGACUAUGGUAGAACAACAAGGAUCAGCCCAAGGUAAGAAUACUAGCUUACGAGCUCCAAUCAUUACGAUUUACGACCUCCCUUCAAGAUGACUUCGCAGAGACAAGCUUGUCAAUGAGCGUGGCAGCAUCUUCAACUGUCGCAAUUGCCUGCGCGCUCGUCUCCUCCACGCUGAUCUGGAACUCCUCCUCAAGGCCCAUCACAAUCUCGAC